CUUAAGAAGGUUUUCUUAUUUCUCCUUGCUAUUCUCUGGAACUCUGCAUUCAGUAUAUUUUCCCCUUUCUCCUUUGCGUUUCACUUCUCUUCUUUUUCCAGCUACUUGUAAAGCCUCCUCAGACAGCCACUCUAUCUUCUCACAUUUCUUUUUCUUGGACCUCCCUGGUGGCUCAGAUGGUAAUCCCCAGAGCAACCAUUAAAUGAAAUCAUACAAAGAGGGAUAGCUGAAGACUCAAUACAGAAUAUAGAAUACUAAUUCCAAGUGGCAAAAUGUGAAAAAAUAACCUAAAAUAAGAUAGAAGAACAAGGGUUAGAUGGGACAGUAGAAAGCAAGUGUCUUGAACAGAUAUUUUAAGAAAGAAGCUAUCUGGUUAGGAAAAAAACACAUGAAAAAGUGGUCAACAUUCAUCGUCAUCAGAGAAAUACAAAACUGCAACAAGAUACCACUACACACCCAGCAGUGGGGCCAUAGUUAAAACUACUGACAAUGCUAAAUGUGGUCAAGAAUAUAGAGCUAGAACUCUGAAAUUACUGGCAGAAUGUACAUGUAUAGGCACCCUUGUUAUUUAUUUUGGGGGGGCCAUGCCACCUGGCUUGUGGGAUCUCAGUUCCCCAACCAGGGAUUGAACCCAGGCCUCAGCAGUGAAAAUCUGGAAUCUUAACCACUGGGUGACCAGGGAACUCCCUAGGUACACCUUGUUUUAUUGUGCUUUAAUUUUUUUUUUUCUUUUCACUUUUUGGCUGCUUCGCAUGGUGUGAUAUGUGGGAUCCCAGCUCCCCAACUGGAACUACCGCAACUCCCGCAGUGGAAGCCAGAGUCUUAACCUCUGAACUUCCAUGGAAGUCCCUGUGAUCAGUGACCUUUGAUGUUACUAUUAUAAUUGUUUUGAGGCAUAGUGAACCAGAUCUACAUAAGACUGCAAAUUUAAUGUGUGUGUAAUCUGGCUGCUUCCCCUGUGGACUGUCCUUCUGUCUUUCCCUCUCCUCGGGCCUCCCUGUUCCCUGGGAUGCAAUAUUGAAAUUAGGCCAAUUAUUAAUGAUAACCCUACAAUGACCUCUAAGUGUUCAAGUGAAAGGAAGAGUCACAUGUCCCUCAAUUUAAAUACAAGACUAGAAAUGAUUAAGCUUAGUGAGAAAGGCAUGUGGAAAGCUCAGACAGGCUGAAAAGUAGGCCUCUGGCACAGAACAGUUAGCCAAGUUGUGAAUUGAGAAGAAAAGUUUCUGAAAGAAAUUAAAAGUGUGACUCAUGGACACAUGAGUAAUGAGAAAGUGAAGCAGCCUUACUGCUGACAUGGAGAAUGUCUCAGCGGUCUGGAGAGAAGACCAAAUGAGCCACAGCAUCCCUUUAAGCCAAAAAGUGAAAGUUGCUCAGUUGUAAACUUUGCGACCCCACGGACUAUGGCCUGCCAGGCCCCUGUCCAUAUAGUUCUCCAGGCAAGAAUACUGGAGUGGGGUCUUCCCAAUCCAGGGACUGACCCUGAGUCUCUUGCAUUGCAGGCAGAUUCUUUACCAUCUGAGCCACCAGGGAAGCCCUCCCUUAAGCCAAAGCCCAAUCCUAAUCAAAGCCCCAGCUCUCUUCACUUCUGAGAAGCCUGAAGAAGGUGAGAAAGCUGCAGAAGAACAGUGUGAAGCUGGCAGAGGUUGGUUCCUGAGGUUUAAGGAAUGACGGUCUCUCCACAACAGAGAACUGCAAGGGUCUUAGCUCCCUGAUGAGGGAUUGAACCUGAACCCUUGGCAGUGAAAACGCCCAGUCCUAACCACUGGACUGUCAGGGAACACCUUUAUAAUGGAAGAAGAUUCCAUAUAGGACUUUCAGAGCUGGAGACGAGAAGUCAAUGCCUCAGAGGACAGGCAGACUUUCUUGUUAGGGGCUAAAGCAGCUGGUGACUUCAAGAUGAAACUGAAGUUCUUUUACCAUUUCCAAAACCCUGAGGCCCUUCAGAAUUAUGCUAAAUCUACUCUGUCCAUGCUUUAUAAAUGGAAUGACAAAGUCUGGAUGAUGCACAGUACCUUACAACAUGGUUUGCUGAGUAUUUUAAUCCCACUGCUGAAAACUACUGCCCAGAAAAAAAAAGAUUCCUUUCAAAAUAUUACUGCUCACUGAUGAUAUACCUGGUCACCCAAGAGCACUGAUGAAGAUGUACAAUGAAAUUUGUGUUGUUUUCAUGCCUGCUGAUGCAGCAGCCAUUUUUUUUUUGAAAAAAUUAUUUACUUAUUUUUGAUUGCACUGGGUUUUCAUUGCCACGUGUGGGCUUUCUCUAGUUGCACACGGGCUUCUCAUUGCAAUGGCUUCUCUUGUGGAGCACAGGCUCUAGGCACACAGGCUUCAUCAGUUAAGAGGCACGAGUUUAGCUGCUCUGAAGCAUGUGGGAUCUUCCCGGACCAGGGAUCAAACCCAUAUCCCCUGCAUUGGCAGUCAGCUUCUUAUCCAUUGUACCACCAGGGAAGUCCCACAGCAUCCAUUCUGCAACACACGGAUUAAGGAGUAAUUUCGAUUUUCGAGUUUUAUUGUUUAAGAUAUACAUUUCAUAUGCUAUAGCUGCCAUAGAUUGUCAUUCCUCUGAUGGACCUGGGUAACGUACAGUUGACCCUUGAACAAUACAGGGACUGGGGAUUCCAACCCUCCUCACAGUCGAAAAUCUGUGUAGUGCUAUCUCAGUACUUCAGUGGAGGAAGUAACUGUAGAUGUGGCGGAAAUAGCAAGAGAACUAGAAGUAAAACCUCAGACUUGCCUGGUGGUCCAGUGGUUAAGAAUCUGCCUGUCAAUGUAGGGACACAGGUUCAAUCCCUGGUCUGGGAAGAUCCCACAUGUCACGGAGCAACUAAGCCUUCGUGCCACAGCUACUGAAACCCAUGCUCUAGAGCCCAUGUUCUGCAAUGAAAAGCCACCAUAAUAAGAAGCUCCCACACUGCAAUUAGAGAGUAGCCUCUGUUUGUCACAGCUAGAGAAAAGCCCGUGUGUGCAUGCUAAGUCGCUUCAGUUGUGUCUGACUCUUUUCGACCCCAUGGACUCCAAGCUCCUCUGUCCAUGGGAUUAUCCAGGCAAGAAUACUGGAGUGGGUUGCCAUGUCCUCCUCCAGGGGAGUUUUCCCAACCCAAGGAUCAAACCUGCAUUUCCUGCAACUCCUGCACUGCAGGUGGAUUUUUUACUGCUGAGCCACUGGGGAAGUCUAGAGGAAAACCCACACAGCAACAAAGACCCAGCACAGCCCAAAAUAAAAAUAAAUAAAUAAAAUUUUUUUUUUUAAAGUGGAGCCUGAAGAUGUGACUGAGUUGCUGCAGUCUCAUGAUAACACUUUAAUAGAUGGGGAGUUGCUUCUUAUGGAUGAGCAAAGAAAGUGGUUUCUUGAGAUGGAAUCUACUCCUGGUAAAGAUGCUAUGGAGAUUGUUGAAAUUACAACAAAGGAUUUAGGAUAUGACAGAAACUUGGUUGAUAAAGCAGUAGCACGGUCCAGGAGGACUGACUCCAAUGUGGAAAGUUUUACCAUUGAUAAAAUGUUAUCAAACCGUAUCACAUGCUACGAGAAAUCAUUCGUGAAAGGAAGAGUCAAUUGAUGUGGCACACUUCAUUGUUGUCUUAUUUUAAGAAAUUGCACAACCAUCCCACCUUCAGCAACAACCACCAGGCAUCAACACAGAGGCGAGACCCUCCACCAGGAUAAAGAUUACAACUCACUGAUGAUGGUUAUCACAACUUCUAUAUGCACUGGGAAACCAAAAAAAUUCACAUGACUUACUUUAUUGUGGUAUCUGCUUUAUCACAGCGAUCUGGAACCGAACCUGCAAUAUCUCCAAGGUGUGCCUAUAUAGCCAUUUUGGAAAGCGCUUGACCGUUUGUUAUAAAGUUAAAUGUACACCU
ensembl:lncRNA